rnacentral:snRNA from 1 species
AUAUUUACCUGGCAGGGGAGAUACCAUGAUCACAAAGGUGGUUUUCUCAGGACAAGGCUUAUCCAUUGCACUCCGGAUGUACUGACCACUGUAAUUUCCCCAAAUAUGGGAAACUUGACUGCAUAAUUUGUGGUAGUGAGGGACUGCGUUCGCACUCUUUUC